GCCUUGCGCUAUCAGAUGAGCCUAGGUCGGAUUAGCUAGUUGGUGAGGUAAUGGCUCACCAAGGCUACGAUCCCUAACUGGUCUGAGAGGAUGAUCAGUCACACUGGAACUGAGACACGGUCCAGACUCCUACGGGAGGCAGCAGUGGGGAAUAUUGGACAAUGGGCGAAAGCCUGAUCCAGACAUGCCGCGUGUGUGAAGAAGGUCUUCGGAUUGAAAGCAAUUGAGUUGGGAGGAAGGGCAUAACCUAAUACG
rnacentral:rRNA from 1 species